GAUGAAGAACGUAGCGAAAUGCAAUACUUGGUGUGAAUUGCAGAAUCCCGUGAACCAUCGAGUUUUUGAACGCAAGUUGCGCCCGAAGCCGUUAGGCCGAGGGCACGCCUGCCUGGGUGUCACACAUCGUUGCCCCAAUGCCAAUCGCCUCACUUUGUAGGUAUUUGCUUGGGGUGAAUGUUGGCCUCCCGUGAGCUUUGUCUCACGGUUGUUUGAAAAUCGAGUGCAUGGUGUCGGGUGUACCAUGAUGGAUGGUGGUUGAGUGAUGAUGCUCGGUGACCCACAUGCGUCCCUUGGAUGCUCCCUAAGGAGACCUCAGGUCAGGCGGGGCUACCCACUGAGUUUAAGCAUAUCAAUAAGCGGAGGA
rnacentral:misc_RNA from 1 species